rnacentral:rRNA from 1 species
GACGAACGCUGGCGGCGUGCUUAACACAUGCAAGUCGAACGAUGAAGCCGGAGCUUGCUCUGGUGAAUUAGUGGCGAACGGGUGAGUAACACGUGAGUAACCUGCCCUUGACUCUGGGAUAACUGCUAGAAAUGGUAGCUAAUACCGGAUACGACCCUCGGAGGCAUCUUCAGGGGGUGGAAAGAAUUUCGGUCAAGGAUGGACUCGCGGCCUAUCAGCUAGUUGGUGAGGUAAUGGCUCACCAAGGCGACGACGGGUAGCCGGCCUGAGAGGGUGACCGGCCACACUGGGACUGAGACACGGCCCAGACUCCUACGAGAGGCAGCAGUGGGGAAUAUUGCACAAUGGGCGCGAGCCUGAUGCAGCAACGCCGCGUGAGGGAUGACGGCCUUCGGGUUGUAAACCUCUUUUAGUAGGGAAGAAGCGAAAGUGACGGUACCUGCAGAAAAAGCACCGGCUAACUACGUGCCAGCAGCCGCUGUAA